rnacentral:lncRNA from 1 species
CAAGAUUAAAAAAAAUGGCGAUAAUGUCAAUCAAUAUAAGAAAGGGUGAAAGCAGGGCAUGGGAACAAAACUUGGUGCUGACCAAUCACCAUGCAAAAUGAGGUAGUUGCCCUGUUUAUUAAAUGGGUUUUCUUAAACUGGUCUUUGUCUUGGGAUUGUGUUUUUAUUUAUUAAUAACUCAUCACUCAACGAAAUGAAAAUCCUAAAGCAUGAGUUAUAAAAUAGUUCCACUGGUUUGACUUGUAGGAAAUAUUUUGGAGCAACUACACCAAAAUAAAACAUGCAUUCACAGCAAUAUGAAGCUAAUUGCUCUUUCUUUCUCAAACUUUCAUGUACAAAGUAAUAAAUAAUAAUACGAAAGGGUUGAAGAGUCUGAUGGGAGAUAUGUUGUGCAAAGUUGAGUAUAUUGUACACAUCGAGUGUGAUAAUGAAAAUGCUCUUAAAC